AUACAACGAAUGUGAAUUGUUUUUAUAAGAUUUAGGUGUAAAUAGCUUGCUUUUGAAAACCUACACUGCAUGUAUCUGCCCAAAGUCUAACGGAAUUGACAGUUGACGAUAAGCUAUGGACGUACCUUUUUACCGGUACAUUUUAUUGUAAACAAACUUAGCAAAAUAGACAACAAUGUAUACAAUCAAGAAACACGACCAAAUCAUAAAUUAUUUCCAAAAUGUACGAAGUUAAAGCUAACGCAACAUUGGAUUCCAUUCUUUCUGCUUCAAUCAACCCACUUCAAGGUUAAAACAUCCUGCAAAUAAGACGCUGGACCAUGAUCUUGCACAUCAGUAGCAUGACACGGUGUUGCUAUUGAAAGAGAUUUUUACUUUCACUUUCGUUGAAGCUACCUUGGUACUGCACCUGGCGUGACGUUGCGCUUCAAAGAGUGGGUGUUUUAGCAGACGGUGUGUCGCCCUUAUUCAUUCGGUUUGGGGAAUUUUACGUCUUCAAUGGUGGGAAAGCAACAUCGGAGAGGCGGACGUGCUCAUCCAUAUUAGUGAAGACUAUGAUAGAAUGACCGUUGGCCUUACCAACCCAUAUGCUCCAGCUUCAAGGCAAUCCUUGGUGACGCAAAAAAACCUGCUACUACUAACAACUCUAGGCGGUGAGAUAGCUUUGGGCACCAAAACCAAUUCAACGGUUAUUCGCGAGUUUGAACCUUUUAAUGUAUGGUUUCUUUGGAAAAUGUAAAUUUACGAUGCUAAAACAUCAGGCAUCCUGUGCGUUACAAGAUUUCAAGUUUUAACUAACCUCCACACACAUGGUUGCAUAAACAUCACUGUGUUGGAAUCGUAUGUGAUACAACAAUGGGUUGUGAUCUUGAUAGUUGUGAUCGUUUAACUUAUUGAUUACUGGUUUUCGUAACCUUCAACACCAAUCGAUAUUGUCAGACCCCUAAAGGGUGACCGUUUCUAUCUUUAGAUAAUGAGCUUCAUUCUGUGUAUAAGAUAACCAACUUAACCAUUCGAUCUCUUCUGAAGAGAUCGUAUGCUUUAAAAAUUUUAAUUAAUCCCCAUAUUAACCAUCGUAUCAGCAAACAUCCGAAAUUGUUGAAGAGGAACAACCAAACUUCGUACUCCCCCUCGCAAACAGGUUUAAAUGUAACUACUUUCGUUUCCAUUUCAAAUUCAUUGAUUUCCAUUUUUAGUUUCGCACUGAAACACGUGGUUAAUGGCGAUCGCCACCAAGAGUCGAUGGAGUUGUAGCAUUUGACACAACAGUAAUGUAUUAAAAAAUCUACCUACAAUUUUGUCGCUCAUCGUCACACCUAAACCAAACCGAGUGACGAUAUAUGAACGUUGAUGACAGUAUCGCGCUUUCGCCGACAUAAUACCUUAACAGCGAAAUCCGUAUACUUUCACUGUUGCUGUAUGUAAAGCGAUGACCAAAUAACAGCGUGCGUAUUUUUAAACAUAAAUUAAAGAUAUCAAGUUAUAUCGAAAAACCGCUCAGUUCGUUCGUUUCAACGCAUCCAGGUAUCAGAAAUAACAUAAUAGCACUAUUUAUCACCAUUUGUGCGUGGAAUUGGGACUUCCACGGAUAUUUUACCUUUAAGAAUUUAUGUACUCUUUCGUUAAUUUCGUCCACAAUUCAUCGCCGAAAUUUGAACUACAUUCCCAGUUGAAAAUGAAAAUAGCAACUACUCCAAAAAGCGGCUCAUUUUAGUAUCCUUGAAAAGAGUUAACAGCAAUCUACUCGAGUCACAUACGAUUCUCACCUUUCAAACAGCUGUCCCGAUACCGUAUGUUAAAACACAUCUUGAUAGGAUAUCUUCUACUCUUCCUCAUUAGUAUCCAAUUACUACCAAAACGUAGGAGCUAGUGUAGCUAAUUCGUACAGCCAAUAGUGGAAAAAAACCACUUUGACAGCAUGCGAAAAUGGAGAUUAGUAGAUACCUCUUUCGGUGGGAGCGCUUUUGAUGUCGGAACUUGCGCAAUGUUACGUGAAAGAGAUCACAGAUUCUGGUGCAUCCUAUCGGGCGUGUGAUCCACAGUUCGUAGCCAUACAAACCUUUUGUCUUAUGAAGCGAUACACAAACGAGAUUAUUUUUUAUCAGUAUAAAAUGGAUUCGACCUUGCAACUAUACGAUCGUUGAAAAAUAAAAUACGUUUUUAAUUGUUUAAAAAUAUCAAACAAACUUAAUAUUUUUGAAUGAAUUUCAAAAACAUCAAGGCAUAAAACCUUGAAACCGAAUUGAAAUAAAAAUUCCAAACUUGAGUUA